rnacentral:rRNA from 1 species
UACGGAGGGUGCGAGCGUUAUUCGGAAUUACUGGGCGUAAAGCGCGUGUAGGCGGCAGGGCAAGUCUGGUGUGAAAGCCCGGGGCUCAACCCCGGAAGUGCAUUGGAAACUGCUCUGCUUGAGUACCGGAGAGGAAGGGGGAAUUCCCGGUGUAGCGGUGAAAUGCGUAGAUAUCGGGAGGAAUACCAGUGGCGAAGGCGCCCUUCUGGCUGAUAACUGACGCUGAGGUGCGAGAGCGUGGGGAGCAAACAGG